rnacentral:rRNA from 1 species
GCGAAUUGAUGGGAGCUUGCUCCCUGAUAUUAGCGGCGGACGGGUGAGUAACACGUGGGUAACCUGCCUGUAAGAUUGGGAUAACUCCGGGAAACCGGAGCUAAUACCGGAUAACAUAUUGAACCGCAUGGUUCAAUAUUAAAAGAUGGCUUUUAGCUAUCACUUACAGAUGGACCCGCGGCGCAUUAGCUAGUUGGUGAGGUAACGGCUCACCAAGGCGACGAUGCGUAGCCGACCUGAGAGGGUGAUCGGCCACACUGGGACUGAGACACGGCCCAGACUCCUACGGGAGGCAGCAGUAGGGAAUCUUCCGCAAUGGACGAAAGUCUGACGGAGCAACGCCGCGUGAACGAUGAAGGCCUUCGGGUCGUAAAGUUCUGUUGUUAGGGAAGAACAAGUACCAGAGUAACUGCUGGUACCUUGACGGUACCUAACCAGAAAGCCACGGCUAACUACGUGCCAGCAGCCGCGGUAAUACGUAGGUGGCAAGCGUUGUCCGGAAUUAUUGGGCGUAAAGCGCGCGCAGGUGGUUUCUUAAGUCUGAUGUGAAAGCCCACGGCUCAACCGUGGAGGGUCAUUGGAAACUGGGGAACUUGAGUGCAGAAGAGGAAAGUGGAAUUCCAAGUGUAGCGGUGAAAUGCGUAGAGAUUUGGAGGAACACCAGUGGCGAAGGCGACUUUCUGGUCUGUAACUGACACUGAGGCGCGAAAGCGUGGGGAGCGAACAGGAUUAGAUACCCUGGUAGUCCACGCCGUAAACGAUGAGUGCUAAGUGUUAGA